AAAUCCCCACUGCCAGCCAAGGAAAUGGUUGAAGACCAAGGAGGGUUUAGAGUUCUAUGGCAGGUUUUGAUCACUUGGAUGGCGGCAGAAACAUGCUGAGACUGAGUUGGCUAUUGUAGAUCUCGUUAACUGUUUAUAUGAUGAUAUUAUUAUUACUGCCAUGUCCACCUACCAGGGCCACCUUCUCUUCAAAGAAUCCUCUACCACAGCCAGCUGUGGCUUUGGCUCUAACCUCAGCAGGGAACCUCAGUGACUUCUGGUCCUCUUCUGCUUAGCUAGAGGCAGAUCUAGCAGCAAAUGAUGUCUCUGCCUUAGCCUCCAUGUCCGCACACUGGGAUGAUGGUGCAAAGGUAAUCUGGGGAAAAACAAGGCCAUCCUGAGAAGAAAAGCAAGAGUGAGCAUCUGCCCCAGCCCUGGGGGCAGUUUCCCCUGCCCUCUCAUGCACCUUGAAACAUCUUUGGUGUGUUUGCCCUGUGCUGAGGCCUUUGCAAUGAGAGCGGCAUCUCUCUGGUUCCUGGAUAGCUCACUCUGGAGUGCUGCAUCCCUGUAUGUCGAGAGAAGGAUAGAGAUUGCUUUCUUCGCUGCUACCCACAGAGCUGUUUCUGGCACCUGAAUAACUGGCUUCCACCAGAUACUCCAUUGGAAGGUAUUAAAGAUUUUCCACUUAAAGUUUUCUCAAAGCUGUGAAUUGUCACAUCACCCCACCCUUCCUCCUGCACAGGAUGCCACAGAGCUGGGUCUACAGAGGACAUGACUUGGUUUCCAUCAGCUGUGGCAGGGUUUCACUGUCAUUUGAAAUGACUAACUAGAUUGUGACUCUCUUGGGGGUCUUGGAAGGACAGAAAGCUGUGAUUAAAUGCAAGAGACUUCAAGCCUUUUCUGUCUUCCUAGGGGCAGGUAGUAUCUAACCAAAUUUGGAGUAUGGGGUUGGUAGCUUCAUGCUUGAAUUAUAGGUUCUAAUCCUAGAAGAUUGAUUUAUGUCCCAAUGAUAUAAGAUUUAUGCCAGAAAUAGAGCCCCCCCGCCGCACCAUAUGUAUACAUGUAUAUUUUUCUGCUGUUUCCCAGCUUUUGGAGUAUUUCAGAAAUGUAAGCCAUAAGAUACUGUGAAUGUGUCCUACUCAGUGUGCAUAGCAUGGGAAUACCAGCAGGGCUGCAUUUUUCUUAACAGUGUAUGAGAUUCUAGAUUCAUGUCUUUCCCAGGUUAUUCUCUUCUUGCAAGUCUCUUCCCCUUCCCCACUCUUCGGUCACAGGGUUUCUGUCCUACAACUCACCGACGAGAGCGAAAAAACUCAGCACCUCACACACACACAUUUGCUUGAUAAGAAAUUGGAGGAGGUUGAAUUGCCACAGUGAACGAAGGCCUCGGG
rnacentral:lncRNA from 1 species